AGUGAACGCUGGCGGCAGGCCUAACACAUGCAAGUCGAACGACAGCACAGUAAGAUCUCGCCCUCACGGGUGGCGAGUGGCGGACGGGUGAGGAAUACAUCGGAAUCUACUUUUUCGGGGGGAAUAACGGAGGGAAACUUACGCUAAUACCUCAUAUGUCCUACGGGUGAAAUCAGUGGUGCUUCGGACCUUUCCCGAUUCAAUGAGCCGAUGCCGGAUUAGCUAGUUGGCUGGGUAAAGGCCCACCAAGGCGACGAUCCGUAGCGGGUCUGAGAGGAUGAUCGGCCACACUGGAACUGAGACACGGUCCAGACUCCUACGGGAGGCAGCAGUGGGGAAUCUUGGGCAAUGGGCGCAAGCCUGAUCCAGCAAUGCCGCGUGGGUGAAGAAGGCCUUCGGGUUGUAAAGCCCUUUUAUUGGGAAAGAAAAGCAGCAGGUUAAUACCCCGCUGUUCUGACGGUACCCAAAGAAUAAGCACCGGCUAACUUCGUG
rnacentral:rRNA from 1 species